rnacentral:tRNA from 1 species
AGAAAGUANACGCAAGAACUGCUAACUCAUGNCCCCCGCGCUUAAACCCGCGGCUUUCUU